AGGGAUUCAGCCACGAAGUCCAUUAGAGCAUCAGAUGCAGUGAGGUCAAAUCAAUUGUCCAUACUGCAGACAAGGACGGGCAGUAAUAAUUGACUGAAGCAAUCACUGCUGUGGGAAAACAAACGUGCUGGCCGUGUCGCUGUGAAGGUCAGGCCUGAUGACACAAAGCUGACUUGCUGAGCAAACAUACCCAUGUAUGUGGAAUAGAGCUGAAGUAGUAAGAAGAACUUCUCCUAUUGCACCUCUAUCAUGUGUUGGCACCAUCAGUUCACCAAUUACCUUCUAGGCUGAGGUAAGUGAAUGCAGUUAUUAGGUUUGUGUGUUUAGCAAGUAACUCUUCAAAAUAUUAUGGGCCUAUUUGCAGUGGAUUCUUUUCCAAAUCAGGUCUCUUAUCUACAUUUUUUCCAUAGAACAGGACUUACUCUUUGAAGGAUGGCUUUUUUCUCCUGGUAACCGUGUUCUCUGCCCUUUAUAUUUUAUAUUUUUAUGUUUAUUUUUAUGCCUUUUGAUAUUUUAAGAUAUUUAAUGGUAUACAUUUAAA